GAUGAACGCUGGCGGCGUGCCUAAUACAUGCAAGUCGAGCGAACGGACGAGAAGCUUGCUUCUCUGAUGUUAGCGGCGGACGGGUGAGUAACACGUGGAUACCCUACCUAUAAGACUGGGAUAACUUCGGGAAACCGGAGCUAAUACCGGAUAAUAUUUUGAACCGCAUGGUUCAAAAGUGAAAGACGGUCUUGCUGUCACUUAUAGAUGGAUCCGCGCUGCAUUAGCUAGUUGGUAAGGUAACGGCUUACCAAGGCAACGAUGCAUAGCCGACCUGAGAGGGUGAUCGGCCACACUGGAACUGAGACACGGUCCAGACUCCUACGGGAGGCAGCAGUAGGGAAUCUUCCGCAAUGGGCGAAAGCCUGACGGAGCAACGCCGCGUGAGUGAUGAAGGUCUUCGGAUCGUAAAACUCUGUUAUUAGGGAAGAACAUAUGUGUAAGUAACUGUGCACAUCUUGACGGUACCUAAUCAGAAAGCCACGACUAACUACGUG
rnacentral:rRNA from 1 species